rnacentral:rRNA from 1 species
UACAGAGGUCUCAAGCGUUGUCCGGAUUCAUUGGGCGUAAAGGGUGCGUAGGUGGCGUGGUAAGUCGGGUGUGAAAUUUCGGAGCUUAACUCCGAAACUGCAUUCGAUACUGCUGUGCUUGAGGACUGGAGAGGAGACUGGAAUUUACGGUGUAGCAGUGAAAUGCGUAGAGAUCGUAAGGAAGACCAGUGGCGAAGGCGGGUCUCUGGACAGUUCCUGACACUGAGGCACGAAGGCCAGGGGAGCAAACGGG